rnacentral:rRNA from 1 species
AUGGAUGGGAUCCCUGAAGCCCCGCCAAGAGAAACCAAUGUCACCCCUCAACCGGUGACGCUCUCCUUGCCACAGCAGCUCUCGCAUACUUCCCCCAAGGAACCUCAUACUCGUAAUCCGACGGUUGAUGCAUCAACCUGUGAUCAGCCCGCCCGACUUUGUGCCGUACAGGCCAUGUCAUCAUCCGCCCCAGAGCAACCAGUGGUCAGGCCUACAACUACUGAAGACGCACCACGGUUUCAGAUGCCGGCCGCUGAAGCAGCGGGGGAGACCCAGCUGCACCACAUGCUCAGCAACCAACCUGGUGGAACGGACUACUAA